GUGACAAACCCAAGCCAAGCACCACUUCUAAGAGCUUUUCUUAGUCUUCUGUUGCGUGAGAGGAGCACUGUGAGAGGAAUGGCGUCCCUGAAAGCUGAGAAGCCUGCUGGGCUCACGGCACAGCCCAAGGCUGGCGAGACUGCACCCAAGGCUCCGGCAUCCAAGCAGGCCCCCAAAAAGGCCGAGCGGAAACCCCGUGAACCCCGGAAGAAGGGUAACGGUGGCAAACCAGCAGCAAAGAAUUAGUGGCAGCAACUAGGAAGUUGGACAUCCCACAUGCACUCGAGUUAUAUCGAGAUGAUACCUGUGUUUGUUUUCCUUUUAUGUGUGUUUUUCUCCCUUUUUUUUUAUGUUUGUGUCCUGAACUCUAAAGGUUGGAUGUAUGUUUGGAUGUUCGGCUUGGCCUGGUGAAACAAAUGUAUUGAUGAUUACCAAAACAGACGAAUAGUAAUAACUGUAUGACCAUGCUAUGAUCAAAUAAACUGGUAAUUUAUUACA